rnacentral:rRNA from 1 species
GACAGAGGGUGCAAACGUUGUUCGGAAUUACUGGGCGUAAAGCGUGCGCAGGCGGUUUUGUAAGACAGAGGUGAAAUCCCCGGGCUCAACCUGGGAACUGCCUUUGUGACUGCAAGGCUUGAGUGCGGCAGAGGGGGAUGGAAUUCCGCGUGUAGCAGUGAAAUGCGUAGAUAUGCGGAGGAACACCGAUGGCGAAGGCAAUCCCCUGGGCCUGCACUGACGCUCAUGCACGAAAGCGUGGGGAGCAAACAGG